rnacentral:rRNA from 1 species
UAAUGCCUUUACUGGUGUUGGUUUCAAGAACUUGUCUAAACCUUAUCAUUUAGAGGAAGGUGAAGUCGUAACAAGGUUUCCGUAGGUGAACCUGCGGAAGGAUCAUUACCACACAAUAAUCCAAACCGCGCUUACAUUAAACCCAUAGGCUCUGGCCCUGCUAACUAGUGGUAAACCCCUCUGUAACCCAUCGAGUCUCUCUGGUGUUUACGACCUUAUAAGAUCUCAUUAUGUGCCACUGCCGUGAUGAUGCAACCUGGAGGCCAACGAGUACGAUCCACCAAUUUAAAUUCAAUCGACAGCUUGACGAGAGUCAAGUUUAAAAGUAUAACAUUCCAAUACAACUUUCAGCAAUGGAUGUCUUGGUUCCCAACACAAUGAAGAACACAGCGAAAUGUGAUACGUAAUACGAAUUGCAAGACUUUGUGAAUCAUUGAAUUUUUGAACGCAUAUUGCGCUGCCAGAUUCUUUCUGGGAGCAUACACGACAGAGUAUCAUCAAACCCCAAUCUAUAACAUUAUUUGUUAUGGGCAAGUGAAGUUGGCUUUAAACAAAGCACUCCUUCUAAGUUAUUUAGUGCAGAGGCAUUUUCACAUUGUAGGAAACUCAGUGUAUUUGUUUCAACGUGCUAUUGGUCAAAAUUCANUUUUUGACUGUCUUCUUAACUGAUCUCUGACUGUGUAGGACUACCCGCUGAAUUU